rnacentral:rRNA from 1 species
UACGGAGGGUGCAAGCGUUGUCCGGAUUUAUUGGGCUUAAAGGGUGCGUAGGCGGUCUUGUAAGUCAGUGGUGAAAGCCUCCAGCUCAACUGGAGAACUGCCAUUGAUACUGCAAGGCUUGAGUACAGACGAGGUUGGCGGAAUUGAUUGUGUAGCGGUGAAAUGCAUAGAUACAAUCAAGAACUCCGAUUGCGUAGGCAGCUAACUAGGCUGUAACUGACGCUGAGGCACGAAAGCGUGGGGAGCGAACAGG